GUGCGGUAGGUAAAUCCGUCGCACACAAGGCUGAGACCUGAUGCCGAGCCGAUUGUGGUGAAGUGGAUGAUCCUAUGCUGUCGAGAAAAGCCUCUAGCGAGUUUCAUGGCGGCCCGUACCCUAAACCGACUCAGGUGGUCAGGUAGAGAAUACCGAGGCGUUCGGGUGAACUAUGGUUAAGGAACUCGGCAAAAUCGCCCCCGUAACGUUCGGGAGGAACGGGGGCCACAUCUGGUGAUGAGCUCUGCGCUCUGAGCGUGGGGGUGGCCGCAGACGACCAGCGAGAAGCGACUUGUUUAACAAAAAC
rnacentral:ncRNA from 1 species